rnacentral:rRNA from 1 species
GACGAACGCUGGCGGCGUGCUUAACACAUGCAAGUCGAACGGAAAGGCCCCUUUGGGGGUACUCGAGUGGCGAACGGGUGAGUAACACGUGAGUAACCUGCCCUUGCCUUCGGGAUAACUUCAGGAAACUGGGGCUAAUACCGGAUAGGAAUCCUUGCUGCAUGGUGGGGGUUGGAAAGCUUCGGCGGUUUUGGAUGGACUCGCGGCUUAUCAGCUUGUUGGUGGGGUAGUGGCUUACCAAGGCUUUGACGGGUAGCCGGCCUGAGAGGGCGACCGGCCACAUUGGGACUGAGAUACGGCCCAGACUCCUACGGGAGGCAGCAGUGGGGAAUAUUGCACAAUGGGCGGAAGCCUGAUGCAGCAACGCCGCGUGCGGGAUGACGGCCUUCGGGUUGGAAACCGCUUUCAGCAGGGGCGAAGCUUGUGGUGACGGUACCUGCAGAAGAAGCACCGGCUAACUACGUG